CGGAGCGUAGCUCAGCCUGGUAGAGCAUUAGCUUUGGGAGCUAAGGGCCGUUGGUUCGAAUCCAGCCGCUCCGACCA
rnacentral:tRNA from 1 species